UACGUAGGUGGCAAGCGUUAUCCGGAAUUACUGGGCGUAAAGCGCACGCAGGCGGUCUUGUAAGUUUGACGUGAAAGCUCCCGGCUUAACUGGGAGAGGUCGUUGAAGACUGCAAGACUUGAGGAAAUGAGAGGGGUGUAGAAUUCCUGGUGUAGUGGCGGAAUGCGUAGAUAUCAGGAGGAAUACCAGUGGCGAAAGCGGCACCCUAGCAUUUUUCUGACGCUCAUGUGCGAAAGCGUGGGGAGCGAACGGG
rnacentral:rRNA from 1 species